rnacentral:lncRNA from 1 species
GGAGAAGAAAGAUGAGUUUCUGGUGUGAACAGCUUCUGCUUGGACCAAGCUCAGAACGGCUUUCCUGUCUCUGUGCUUCCUCAGGCAGAGGAAGGGCUGCCACGUCAAGGACCAGAGGGACCCUCGGACCUGCUGAAGUUGAGUGGGGGGCCUGGUGGUGUCCAGCACACCGUCCUAAAGAGGUGCUGCCAUUCAUCCCCCAGAGCAGGCUUGGGGACACGAGGACGGGCAGCUGCCCUCCACCUGCUCGAGGGCCAGUCCUGACCCAGGAAGGCAGGAGAGAGAGGCUGCAACUGGAAGAGGCUGAGAGAAAGGCACACAAAAAUCUGCCACAGGAGACCCAGAACCGGGCACAAGACCACAAGACCCUCCCCACCUUCCUUCUGCCUCAUCUUGGAGAGAGAAAAUGCCUGGUUUCACCAGUGAGGUGGCCUCUUGCUGUGAGGAAAGGACACCAGAGGGUAGGUGGACACCAGGGCUCAGUGUCUCCAGCAGGAAGCAUGGAUGUGGGCAAAACGAUGAGAGAAAACUCAAGACCAAGCUCCCCUUGGGGAGCAGAAGGCAGAGAGAGGAUGCUGGGAAAGUUCCAGAAUAGGGUUUCUCUCCUCCUAUGCACUCUUAACAUGGGCCCCAAAUCAACUUUGACCAUUUGUCCUCUGUGGGAGUUGUGAGGUGGCCCCUGGAGAGAGAAAGUGAAUCAGAGAGUAAAAGCACCCCAGAUGGCUCUCCUGGACGUCAGCAAAGCCCUUGUUGAAUUGGGGCCAUUUGAAGCUCAAGGUUUCCCCAGGCUGGACAAGGUAGGGUGAACCAGGCUCAGGACCCACCAAAAAACAACAGAAGAGAGCAACAAGCCCAACCUACCCUGUGAAGAAGGCCACAGGCUGGCCCAGCUAUGCCUCACCUCUGGUAAAUCUGCAGUAAAUCCGGUCCCUCAGCCUGCAGCUAACAGGGGAAGAAGACAGGCCUCAAACUCUGUGAGGAGAGCAUCAGGAGAUUUCUGUGCACUGUACCAGAAUAAAUAGAAGACCUAGACAAAGCCA